GUGUCCCCGCGGGGCAGGUGAGUCCCCGUGGUGCAGGUGAGUCCCUGUGGUGCAGGUGAGCCCCGUGUCCCCGCAGGGCUCUGGGGCAGCACAGAGCAGCUCUCCCUCGGGCAGUGCUGGCGGUUACAUCCCAACUCUGUAAGGUGGCAGAAGGGAGCGCAUUAAAGGUUGUCCCUCGGUGUGAGCUGCCCUCUGUGUGUGUGCCGCCCUGGUGCUGGCCGGGCACGGGGGGCCCCGGCUGCUGCCCUGGUGCCCCCGAAGCUGGGAAGAUGGAAGCAUCCCCUCGCCUCUCCUCUCCUCGCUGCAUCCGGCUCCUGUUGAUAUGCUGUAGAUCCGUGCCCUUGUGCCCACUCUGAGUACCAUGACGUAGAGUUAGAGAUGACGAGUGUUUUUAUUACAUCUACUGUAAUCCUGGCUAACCACCCGCUAGCAGGAUAUAGUAAUGUAGUGCUUAUUCUGUGAAUAGUACCUGGGUUUUUUACAUUGUACAGUCCCUGACACGGUUCCCCGGCAGUGGCAGGCAUGCUCCACUCACACAACACUUGCUGUAAGCAAUACCUCGUGGUAUGGGAAUUCUCUUUCAAGCCCUAAAACUAUUUCAACUUACAGCUUGUUUGGGAAAAAAAAAAGAUAUUUCCAUUUUUUUUGUAAAAAUAUAUGUUUCCUGAUUACCUCUUGCUAAUAAAUCUAUUCUAUCUCAGGGUGAA